GGAAGAAGCCAGAAGAAAGAAUAGAGUUAGUGGUAAAGAUAAAAGCAGGAGCAAGUCUAGGUAUUGGUACAAGAAUGUAGAGUGUCACUAUUGUCACAAAACAGGGCAUAUAAAGAAGAACUGUUUUUUGUGGAAGAAAGAUAGCAAAGACAAAAAAGGGUAAGCAAAGAGAAAGAGAUAAUGAUGAUGAUGAUCAUGUUACUACUAUUACAUGUGGUAACCUUGUUUGUCUUAGUGAUUAUGACACUACUAAUCUUG
rnacentral:lncRNA from 1 species